rnacentral:lncRNA from 1 species
CCUCCACUUCAAAUAAAAAGUACCGAGGGAUGCAUUUCAUUACUGCCCUGUGACACUGGAGAAGCCGGGGCUGCAGUGGUAAUACUCCUCAUUUGUUUGUGUCACACGGAGGAUUUAUUUGCAAGAGGAGUCCAGCUCCAAAGAGAAAAUGAACAGCCAAUAUAUGAGGCACGAGGUGCGGGGAUGUGAGACCAGUGACCUGAGGAACUUCUGGGAAAAGACCAUCGAGCAACAAACUCGGUACCUGCAAAACGAGAAGGAACGUCAGCGAAGAAGUGCUCUGACAAAGCUCAGAAAUGAAUGGAUGGAGAGACUGGAAAAACGGAUAAAGAUGUUGAGGACCCAACCUGAAGACCCAUCUAGCUGAAGAUCCCACACCCAUUACAUGCUGCAGGGAGGGGGGGGGAAGAAAAUUAUUUUGUAGGAAAGUGUGAUGGUGUGAUGCAAAAGCUGAAGUCAAUUUUACUUUGUGGCUUAAAUGAGCUAUAAUUAAUUAACUGUCAUUGUUAGAAGUUUCAUAUGUGAAAUCUCAAUUGCUGCUUUUAAGAUUAUGCAUCCAUCCCAUUGUUUGAUAAAUGGAAAAGGUAGUACUCUGAAGUAUUUAACACUAAUAAAUCAUGCUUCACUGAGUUGUAGAUGGCUAGA